UUCUCCAUGAUUUCUAUCUCUAAAUAACCACUUUCUAAUCGUGGUUGUCUCUCAUUAGUAAAAUCUAUCACUUAUAUAAUUCAAAAGAAUAAAAGAAAAAUUUCCCAUGAAUACAAUCUAGCAAAUCGAGAAGGAAAAAUAAAAAAAAUGAAAUGGGAGAAUUGCACAACAAAGUUUGCUCAUUAAUCUGGAAAUUGCAGUGUUCGCUUUGGUGGCAAUCAAACGCAUGCAUUAAUUAGAGUUUGGGACGAUACCUACAUAGUGCUUCUCUUCUGUGCCAUUUUUCUUGACAUUUGUUGGUUUAUAUUUACUCACCACAUCAGGAACAUUUCUUCAUAUUGGAAUAUAGCAAUACCUCUUGAGAAGCUGAUUCAUCAAAUUGUUUCCUUAGCCCUUUAACUCCAGCUGAUGUCCUUAGAGAAAGCUUUGAUUCUGAUAUUGCUUAGGUAAUGCCCAAAGCUUCACUUCUAAUCACCUGUUAGUUGAUUAGGUUUUUAAAAUUUUCAAUAGUAUUGGUACGUAUUUGUCGCUUGUUGUCCUAUUUUUGUAA